rnacentral:rRNA from 1 species
GACGAACGCUGGCGGCGUGCCUAAUACAUGCAAGUCGAGCGCGAGAAGCACCUUCGGGUGUGGAUCGAGCGGCGAACGGGUGAGUAACACGUGGGCAACCUACCUAUUAGCCUGGGAUAACUCCGGGAAACCGGAGCUAAUACCGGAUACUCCUCUUCCUCGCAUGAGGAAGAGGGGAAAGAUGGCCUCGGCUAUCACUAGUAGAUGGGCCCGCGUCGCAUUAGCUUGUUGGUGGGGUAACGGCCUACCAAGGCGACGAUGCGUAGCCGACCUGAGAGGGUGAUCGGCCACACUGGGACUGAGACACGGCCCAGACUCCUACGGGAGGCAGCAGUAGGGAAUUUUCCGCAAUGGGCGCAAGCCUGACGGAGCAACGCCGCGUGAGUGAUGACGGUCUUUAUGGAUUGUAAAGCUCUGUUCUCAAGAAUGAACUCACCUUAGUCGAAUAGAUUAUGGUGUUGACAGUACUUGAGCAGAAAGCCCCGGCUAACUAC